rnacentral:snoRNA from 1 species
AAUCCGAAAAGAGAUUUGUGGUAUUAGGCAGCAACAGGGAGAGACAUUAUAUGAAUAUUGGGAGAGAUUCAACAAGCUGUGUGCUACUUUUCCUCAUCAUCAAAU